GUGUUCCUACGGGGGGCAGCAGUGAGGAAUAUUGGUCAAUGGUCGGGAGACUGAACCAGCCAAGCCACGUGAGGGAGGAAGGUACAGAGUAUCGUAAACCUCUUUUGUCAGGGAACAAAGGCGGGGACGUGUCCCCGGAUGAGUGUACCUGAAGAAAAAGCAUCGGCUAACUCCGUGCCAGCAGCCGCGGUAAUACGGAGGAUGCGAGCGUUAUCCGGAUUUAUUGGGUUUAAAGGGUGCGCAGGCGGUCUGUUAAGCCAGCGGUCAAAGCCCGGGGCUCGACCCCGGCCCGCCGUUGCAACUGG
rnacentral:rRNA from 1 species